CAGGCAAGACCACGCCUAGGCAGCAGGAUGGUUGGGCCUGCUCCCGGAAGGGCCGGGCUGGAUAUUUCGCUACUGGAGGCAGACCAGAGAAGGCCUGUCUAAAUAUCCCAAAUCUCAGUUCUGUGCAGCCUUGGGCAUAUCACUUGACCUCUCUGGCCUUUGCUUUCUCAACUGGAAAACAGCAGCUCUAUUUCACUAGGAUUAAGAGCUCCGCAGGCUGUGCCAUUUCGUUCUCAUGCCCAGAAAAUUCUGAGGCCCCUUGUCAGCUGCUGAGACUUCCAAGAGCCCAAGUGGUCCAGAAAUGGAGCUUCCCUGGAGCAAGGGCGCAGAAGCUAUUUCACGCUCUCUGCAUCCUGACCGGACACUACAGACAAGUGUUGAUAAUGAAACACGAGGCUCCUGAGUUUCUCUAGCCCGGGCCCUGCAGCAAAAACCACUCGACACUGCCUGCGACUCACAAUAUCUGGAGACAGAGGGAAGCCCUUUUGAAUUUAUAAAAUAAGUCUUUUUGAAAAUACACAACAACUCAACUCCUGAAGGGCCAUUUCUCUAGGUGAACUAGUCCCUGGAGGGAGCAUAUGGAAGAAAAUACGAGGUUUUUGCAUGGGACGCAACAGGAGCUGGAAACCAGCCCUGGCGCUUGGUACCUG